rnacentral:rRNA from 1 species
UACGGGGGGACCAAGCGUUGUUCGGAUUUACUGGGCGUAAAGGGCGCGUAGGCGGCGCGGUAAGUCACUUGUGAAAUCUCUGAGCUUAACUCAGAACGGCCAAGUGAUACUGCAGUGCUAGAGUGUGGAAGGGGCAAUCGGAAUUCUUGGUGUAGCGGUGAAAUGCGUAGAUAUCAAGAGGAACACCUGAGGUGAAGACGGGUUGCUGGGCCAACACUGACGCUGAUGCGCGAAAGCCAGGGGAGCAAACGGG